AAAUAAAUUUUAUGACAAAAUUAUUUUCAUAAUUUGUUAUUAAUUUUUUAUUAAUAUUAAUUUUAAUCUUGUAAAAUGCUUUCCUUGUAUAAACUAUCUCUUUGUAUAAAACGGAAAUACUAUUUGACGCCGCGUUGGAGUUCAUGUAUUUUUCCUGACUCUUCUUUCUUUGUUUUAUCCUUAGGCCUCCCUCUCCCAUCGCAACAUAGUUAUUUCUAAGGCUAAUAUUUCAUGUGUCGUAGUUAAUUACGACAAGUUAAUUAGACUUUUUGAUUGGCAAUAAGAUAGAGCAUUUCUAGAGACUCGAAAAUCUCUCUAGUCUAUGACCAAUCGAGAACGUUCAAACAGCUUAUCGUACGACACAUGAAAUAUUAGCCUAAAACAAUUUUUCCGAUUUGAUGCCUAAACGGCUGUUAUUUCGUUUAGUUGUUAGGGUUUCGAACGGUAAAUCAAGCCAGUCAAGCGUUAAUCGAAUUUUAUAGUCGUAUCGUCGCGAGAAAAGUAUGAAAAAAGAUAAUGUCAUCUGAACGUACUUUGCGAAAAGAUACAUUUAUCUUUCUAAUUGGAAAUUAUGCGUCGUAAAUUGUUGGGACUAAAUUGCCAUCAGUUCAUCAAGUGCUGGAAGUGCUAUUUUUUAAUAUGCGACAAGUAAACUUGAAUUUACGAGACAGUGCAGUGUUAACUAUCAAAGAAAUUAUAAUUUUCUGGAAUAAAGCGCGAAUCCCAAUUCGAGAUCCAGCGCGUUGUAUUAACAAGUUGGAAACUUUAUAUAAAAAAUGGAGAGAUUUGCAGAAAAAUGCCCAACUAUCGUCCGAAAGUUUAAAACAAAAUGUAUUUGUUUCGACAUUCGACGAUUUAUUAUUUUAAUCGAUAUGCACGCUAAUGCUCUUGAAUUAUUAACUAUCGAAGAAGAUAAACAAUUUCUUAUCAGCCAAAGGAAAAAAGGAUGACUGGGAAUAAUGCAGUAUUGAUUUAAAAAUGCAACAACAAAAUUAUCUUUUAAAAAGAAAUUAGAAGAAAUUUUUCAACCGCAAGUUGCUUUUUGACAUUAAUAGAGAAAUGUCCUUUAAUGAUGUUUUAUUUAUCGCAAAAACUUUAAGUAAGUUUGAUGAAAAUGAUUUAAAGGAAGAAUGGUUCACAUUGCAUGCUGAUUAUACAAAUGAUGAAAAGCAAACUCUUGCAACAAUGAAUUUUGAUGAUAUGUGGAAAGAAAUUUUAACACGUAAAUGUGAUAAUAUAGAUAAAUAUCCUAAUUUAAGAUUAAUUGUAAGUGCAAUUAGAUCACUUUCGCAUUUAAAUGCAGACUCAGAGAGAUCAUUUUCUAUUUUAUCCAACUUAAAAUGUAAAGAAAAGAGCAGACUUUCAUCGACCUCAGUUAACGCUAUAUGUGUUUUCAAAUCAGCGUUGAAAGCGAGGAAGGAAACAGCAUUAAAUAUGUCUAUUACCGAUAGACAUUUAAAAUUAAUGAAUUCAAAAAUGUUGUAUGCAACUCCA